rnacentral:rRNA from 1 species
AUUGAACGCUAGCGGGAUGCUUUACACAUGCAAGUCGAACGAGUGGCGGACGUGUGAGUAAUAUAUCGGAACGUGCCCAGUAGCGGGGGAUACCUACUCGAAAGAGGGUCUAAUACCGUAUACUAUUGUAGCGGCCGAUAUCGGAUUAUCGAGUUGGUGGGAUAAAGGCUCCCCAAGGCAAUGAUCCGUAGCUGGUUUGAGAGGACGACCAGCCAAACUGGGACUGAGACACGGCCCAGACUCCGACGGGAGGCAGCAGUGGGGAAUUUUGGACAAUGGGGGAAACCCUGAUCCAGCCAUCCCGCGUGUAUGAGAAGGCCUUAGGGUUGUAAAGUACUUUUGGCAGAGAAGCGGUAUCUGCAGAAUAAGCACCGGCUAACUACGUGCCAGCCGCCGCGGUAAUAC